GGACUACUGGGGUAUCUAAUCCUGUUUGAUCCCCGCACUUUCGAGCCUCAGCGUCAGUUACAUUUUUGUGAGCUGCCUUCGCAAUCGGUGUUCUAUGACAUAUCUAAGUAUUUCACCACUACAUGUCAUAUUCCGCCCACAGCAAAUGUACUCUAGACCUACAGUAUCAAUGGCAGUUUCCUUGUUAAGCAAGGAGAUUUCACCACUGACUUAUAAGCCCGCCUACGCUCCCUUUAAACCCAAUGAAUCCGGAUAACGCUUGCAUCCUUCGUCUUACCGCGGCUGCUGGCAC
rnacentral:rRNA from 1 species